rnacentral:tRNA from 1 species
GGGCCGGUCGUCUAGCCUGGUUUGGACGUCAAGGGUAGCCUCGUCACGCUCUCACUCGGCUAUGGAGAAGACGGCGAAAGUCGGCGGUCCAAAUCCGCCCCGGCCCA